rnacentral:rRNA from 1 species
GAUGAACGCUGGCGGCGUGCCUAAUACAUGCAAGUCGAGCGAACAGACGAGGAGCUUGCUCCUCUGACGUUAGCGGCGGACGGGUGAGUAACACGUGGAUAACCUACCUAUAAGACUGGGAUAACUUCGGGAAACCGGAGCUAAUACCGGAUAAUAUAUUGAACCGCAUGGUUCAAUAGUGAAAGACGGUUUUGCUGUCACUUAUAGAUGGAUCCGCGCCGCAUUAGCUAGUUGGUAAGGUAACGGCUUACCAAGGCAACGAUGCGUAGCCGACCUGAGAGGGUGAUAGGCCACACUGGAACUGAGACACGGUCCAGACUCCUACGGGAGGCAGCAGUAGGGAAUCUUCCGCAAUGGGCGAAAGCCUGACGGAGCAACGCCGCGUGAGUGAUGAAGGUCUUCGGAUCGUAAAACUCUGUUAUUAGGGAAGAACAAAUGUGUAAGUAACUAUGCACGCCUUGACGGUACCUAAUCAGAAAGCCACGGCUAACUACGUG